AUUUUUUUUUUUUUUUUUUUUGGAGUCUGGCCAAUUCUAUGUCAGAAGAGGCCUAUCUCAUCACGUUUGUGUUGUCAUUUUGCUCUUUUUUUAUUUUUCCUCCACAAUAAUGUAUUAUUUAUGGGGUCUCCAGUUUGUCACCGUGUCUAUGCGGUUGCCUUCUGGGGAUAUUGGCAUGUUACCCCCAGGAGGGUCUCAGGCGUAGAGUCUAAGGUCUGAUAAUGUCACAUGGAUGGAAAUCAUUUGGGGUGGUGCAUGGAUUUAAUGAUGAUUUUUGGUAAGGGGUAGAAAGUAUUCCUUUUUUUUUGAAAAAAAUUUUGUAAUUAGUCCACGAAACAUCAUGAAAAAUUGGUUUUCUUUGAGUUUCUGGUUUAUUGCUGCAGGGUGGCGGGGGAAGGGGAGUUCUUAGGGUAGCGGUUGCCACAGAUUGUAAAACAGUUGAAUAUUCUUUAUAUAAUGUGGUUUAAUGAAGAGGAAGCAAUUGAUUUGUAAAGGAGCGGUUCUUGCGUUUGUUUUCAUUGUCGGAGUUGCUUGCUUAUUGUGUGUUUAAUUGAAUGAAAGCUUCGGCUUGGCUUGCAACAAAA
rnacentral:misc_RNA from 1 species